rnacentral:tRNA from 1 species
GGAGAGAUGCCAGAGUGGUCGAAUGGGACGGUCUCGAAAACCGUUGUAGCUUCGUGCUACCCAGGGUUCGAAUCCCUGUCUCUCCGCCA